rnacentral:rRNA from 1 species
GACGAACGCUGGCGGCGUGCUUAACACAUGCAAGUCGAACGGUAAGGCCCUUCGGGGUACACGAGUGGCGAACGGGUGAGUAACACGUGGGUGAUCUGCCCUGCACUUCGGGAUAAGCCUGGGAAACUGGGUCUAAUACCGGAUAGGACUCCUGGCUUCAUGGUUGGGGGUGGAAAGCUUUUGCGGUGUGGGAUGGGCCCGCGGCCUAUCAGCCUGUUGGUGGGGUAAUGGCCUACCAAGGCGACGACGGGUAGCCGGCCUGGGAGGGUGACCGGUCAAACUGGGACUGAGAUACGGCCCAGACUCCUACGGGAGGCAGCAGUGGGGAAUAUUGCACAAUGGGCGCAAGCCUGAUGCAGCGACGCCGCGUGAGGGAUGACGGCCUUCGGGUUGUAAACCUCUUUCAGUAGGGACGAAGCGCAAGUGUCGGUACCUACAGAAGAAGGACCGGCCAACUACGUGCCAGCCGCCGCGGUAA